CCAGCGACUGGCUUUACCGAGAGUCCCGCCUCUCGACCAAGACUAUUGGUGGCUGGUCGGCUUGCCUCUCGAGCUAUUGGCUGUUGCCCAGGGCACCUGGGAGUCACGCCCACACACACGAGCAGGUGACUGAUGGUGGGAUGCCCUCCUGUCCCCGGCGCAGAGAUGGCGUGAUGCAUGGCCAAAGAGAGACAAGAGAAGAAAGUGGGAAAACAAGCC